UACGUAGGGGGCAAGCGUUGUCCGGAAUCAUUGGGCGUAAAGCGCGCGUAGGCGGCCCGAUCAGUCCGCUGUAAAAGUCCAGGGCUCAACCCUGGAAAGCCGGUGGAUACUGUCGAGCUAGAGUCCGGAAGAGGCGAGUGGAAUUCCUGGUGUAGCGGUGGAAUGCGCAGAUAUCAGGAGGAACACCGAUAGCGAAGGCAGCUCGCUGGGACGGUACUGACGCUGAGGUGCGAAAGCGUGGGGAGCGAACAGG
rnacentral:rRNA from 1 species